rnacentral:precursor_RNA from 8 species
CGUGGGAGAGUGACUUAGGGUGACCAGCCAUUAUGGUUUGCCUGGGACUGAGGAAUUUGCUGGGAUAUGUCAGUUCCAGGCCAACCAGGCUGGUUGGUUUCCCUGAAGCAACCUUCUUCUUU